GACGAACGCUGGCGGCGUGCCUAAUACAUGCAAGUCGAGCGGAACUGGGGGAGCUUGCUCCUUCCAGUUUAGCGGCGGACGGGUGAGUAACACGUGGGCAACCUGCCCUGCAGAUCGGGAUAACUCCGGGAAACCGGUGCUAAUACCGAAUAGUUUGGCGCCUCCCCUGAGGCGCUACGGAAAGACGGUUUCGGCUGUCACUGCAGGAUGGGCUCGCGGCGCAUUAGCUAGUUGGUGGGGUAACGGCCCACCAAGGCGACGAGGCGUAGCCGACCUGAGAGGGUGACCGGCCACACUGGGACUGAGACACGGCCCAGACUCCUACGGGAGGCAGCAGUAGGGAAUCUUCCGCAAUGGACGCAAGUCUGACGGAGCAACGCCGCGUGAGUGACGAAGGUUUUCGGAUCGUAAAACUCUGUUGUGAGGGAAGAACACGUACCAACUAACUAUUGGUACCUUGACGGUACCUCACCAGAAAGCCACGGCUAACUACGUGCCAGCCGCCGCCGUAA
rnacentral:rRNA from 1 species